rnacentral:rRNA from 1 species
GACGAACGCUGGCGGCGUGCUUAACACAUGCAAGUCGAGCGGUAAGGCCCUUUCGGGGGUACACGAGCGGCGAACGGGUGAGUAACACGUGGGUGACCUGCCUUUAGCUCUGGGAUAAGCCUGGGAAACUGGGUCUAAUACCGGAUACGACUCCGCGGUGCAUGCUGUGGGGUGGAAAGCCUUGUGCGGCUGGAGAUGGGCCCGCGGCCUAUCAGCUUGUUGGUGGGGUGAUGGCCUACCAAGGCGACGACGGGUAGCCGGCCUGAGAGGGCGACCGGCCACACUGGGACUGAGACACGGCCCAGACUCCUACGGGAGGCAGCAGUGGGGAAUCUUGCGCAAUGGCGAAAGCCUGACGCAGCGACGCCGCGUGA